rnacentral:lncRNA from 1 species
CAUUCCCCAUCUUUAAGUUUAUGCUUUGCUCCCCUUCCUUCUGUUCCAAUCUUGUUAAAUCUGCUCCACCUUCUGGCUGACUGCAACUGGUAAUUGUUUCCUUUUGCAUACUUUCACGAUUCACAUUAAGGGUUUGAUCCCCUGGAGGUGACUCUUUUGCCCCCGAUUGAGAAGGUCCUCUCAUUUCCUCGAUAUAAGGCUUUAGCCCAGUAUCAUCAGAGAUCUCACACGAGAGGUCAUUAAAAAUGACUUGUGCAGCCAUAUCGGGGCCAUAGGAUUUCAACUUGACUUUUGACACUUUACUGCUUUGAUUCAUCGAAGUUGAACCUUGUGUAAAUUGUCCACUUGCUUUUCCUUUACCAGUGUUUAGCUCAUACCGUGUCUUUCUUUCAGCCCAGAUUGGGAUGAAGAAUUUGAUACCGUCUCUUUCAAUCCCCACCUCAUUGGGAGUCUUUCUGCCAUCACCAGCAAUUUUGAUUCUCGCCCACUUAAGAUGAUUUUUGAGAUCAGUUUCUUCUUCUGUAGCUAACCAACCCCCACAUAGAUCUCCUAUUUCUUUGAAGAUCUUUUGUGACCAUAGAUGUAAAGGAAUCCCCAUGGCUCUAAUCCAGCAUGUUUCCUCAAUUUGUGAGUUUGGAAUGCAACCGGCUGUAUGAUUCCACCAAUCCAGAUGAAGCUUGAAUUUUUUCCAUCUCCAUUCUCCUUGCACAAUCUGCUCUGCCAUGAA